rnacentral:rRNA from 1 species
UACGUAGGGGGCAAGCGUUGUCCGGAUUUAUUGGGCGUAAAGAGCGUGUAGGCGGCCUGAAAGGUCAGCUGUGAAAACUCGAGGCUCAACCUCGAGACGUCGGUUGAAACCAUCUGGCUAGAGUCCGGAAGAGGAGAGUGGAAUUCCCGGUGUAGCGGUGAAAUGCGCAGAUAUCGGGAAGAACACCAGUGGCGAAGGCGGCUUACUGGUCCGGUACUGACGCUGAGGUGCGAAAGCGUGGGGAGCAAACAGG